ACUUUAAAUGGGAGGAUUUUUAAAUUUAUUUUUUAAAACUGUAUUUUAUUUCCUUGCAGAUCUUUUCUCUAGAAUUUGAGGGAAAAUGUCAGGAAUCACGUUGGUAGACGGACAGGGAAGAAUUUAGCCAUAGUAGAUUAUUUGUUUUUAUAAUGAACCAAAUAUGUGCAUUGCUGUGUUGUCUUUUAUUUUCUUUCUUUUUUUCUCCCCCUUUUGGGCUGUGCUUUCCGUGAGAUGUCUUGCUGAAAUCCAAGGUACAAUAUCGUGCAAAGAUUUCUCCAUCUGAGAUUUUCUGUUUAGCGUGGAAGGUUCCGAUUUUGGUAUUUUUAAGAACUGCUCAGCUGUCAAAAGCAAACAAAACGGGAAUAAUGUUUUGACAGCGGUAUAGUGUUAAAGAAAAUACUCGAGUCUGAAUAAAAAUUGCUUAUGCUGUGGGAAACGAAGGGUAACAGAAGAAACACCUUUUGUUUACAUACACACAUGUUUAUAAUCCCAAAUUUCCAUUUCGCCGAGCGGGUCUGCGUUGGGAGUUGUAGUCACCAUAAAUGAGGGAUUUUUCUUCCAGAUUUUGCUGCCUUUAAGGCGAAGAGAGGAGGGGAGCGCACCUCCGGCAGCGCUGCCGCCCGAGCCCUGCCCGUCGCGGCGAGCGGGCACCGCAGGGCCGAAGAGGAGAUGCCGGGGGGAGCCGGCGCUCCCCACCUUUCACUCAUAGCCGCAGAGAGAGCGAGGGAGAGAAAAUUGCCCCAGACCAGGCAGCAAAAUGCUAGGUUUAGAAGACUGCGAGCCAGUUUCCUGAAUACUACUAUAAUUAAUUUGCGUGCGGAGAUCAAAGAUCCGAGGGCGAAGGAAAUAAUCGAUUCUGCCAGAAAACGCUUCCCCGGCGCAGCCCGCGGACAGCCGCCACCCACGGCAGAUUUUCCUUCAUUCUGUUUAAGGGAAGCUUGGAGCUGCUCUUUAUAGAAGAAUAUUCCAUCAGUCAGGUAGGUCUUGUACUUUGACAGCACUAUUUCAGCAUAUUACUUUUAAUGUAUGGCACUUAAACAUGUACAGAGAAUCCAUGUAACUUGCUUCUGGGCUUUUGGAUAGAAAUUAAAUUGAUGUGACCUAAUAUGUAAGAAAAUAAGAGGCCAUAUGUUUUUCGAUACUAGUGCCAAAAGAAGCACUUGUCAAUUAUUUUCCCCUUUUGAUUAUUAAUUAGGGCCUCAAUCCUGCCCUUUGAUUUGCAGAAGUAAAACACAGGUGAGAAGCAACUCUGCCUGUCCCUUUGCCAGAGAAGACAACUUUGCCUUGUCAACAGAGUGACUGUUGACAGGGGAAGAGCUCAGUCACACAGAGCUCACUGUAAGGCAGCAACAUAAAAUUCCGAACAUUACUUCGGCUGCUCUUACCAGAGACCACAGCCUGGUUUCUGGGGCAGAAGAGCCAUUUUCACAGCCUCCUCCCUCUUGUCUGUCUGUAGCAGAACUGCUGUGCCUCAGCAGGGAAAGCUGGGCAAGGACUUGGCACCUUCUCUGCAUGAUGGUGACAUCUCGUUGGUAGGACAGCGUAGGAAAAACCACAUUCUUGCUAUUGGUGCUACUUCUCUUCUGAAGGUGCGAGGCUGCCCAUCUGCUGCUCCUUCCAGGGAUCA
ensembl:lncRNA